AUAAAUGAGCGAAAGCUUUACUAUUAUCCAUAACACCUGUGAACCAUUUGCCCUUGGGCACACUUCAAACAUAAUGUAAUGAAUGUAACCUACUAUAAUAAAAUA
rnacentral:misc_RNA from 1 species